GAUGAACGCUGGCGGCGUGCUUAACACAUGCAAGUCGAACGGGAUCCACCGGGCUUUGCUUGGUGGUGAGAGUGGCGAACGGGUGAGUAAUGCGUGACCGACCUGCCCCAUACACCGGAAUAGCUCCUGGAAACGGGUGGUAAUGCCGGAUGCUCCAGUUGAUCGCAUGGUCUUCUGGGAAAGCUUUCGCGGUAUGGGAUGGGGUCGCGUCCUAUCAGCUUGACGGCGGGGUAACGGCCCACCGUGGCUUCGACGGGUAGCCGGCCUGAGAGGGCGACCGGCCACAUUGGGACUGAGAUACGGCCCAGACUCCUACGGGAGGCAGCAGUGGGGAAUAUUGCACAAUGGGCGCAAGCCUGAUGCAGCGACGCCGCGUGAGGGAUGGAGGCCUUCGGGUUGUAAACCUCUUUUAUCGGGGAGCAAGCGAGAGUGAGU
rnacentral:rRNA from 1 species